AUUCAGUUGACAAAUCCCAAAUAGGACGAAACGCGCGUCUUAGAU
rnacentral:hammerhead_ribozyme from 1 species